rnacentral:rRNA from 1 species
UACGUAGGGUGCAAGCGUUAAUCGGAAUUACUGGGCGUAAAGCGUGCGCAGGCGGUUUUGUAAGUCUGUCGUGAAAUCCCCGGGCUCAACCUGGGAAUUGCGAUGGAGACUGCAAGGCUAGAAUCUGGCAGAGGGGGGUAGAAUUCCACGUGUGAGCAGUGAAAUGCGUAGAGAUGUGGAGGAACACCGAUGGCGAAGGCGGCCUU